rnacentral:rRNA from 1 species
CCUACGGGAGGCUGCAGUAGGGAAUCUUCCACAAUGGACGAAAGUCUGAUGGAGCAACGCCGCGUGAGUGAAGAAGGGUUUCGGCUCGUAAAGCUCUGUUGGUAGUGAAGAAAGAUAGAGGUAGUAACUGGUCUCUAUUUGACGGUAAUUACUUAGAAAGUGACGGCUAACUACGUGCCAGCAGCCGCGGUAAUACGUAGGUGGCAAGCGUUGUCCGGAUUUAUUGGGCGUAAAGCGAGUGCCGGCGGUUCAAUAAGUCUGAUGUGAAAGCCUUCGGCUCAACCGGAGAAUUGCAUCAGAAACUGUUGAACUAGAGUGAAAAAGAGGAGGGUGGAACGCCAUGUGUAGCGGUGGAAUGCGUAGAUAUAUGGAAGAACACCAGUGGCGAAGGCGGCUCUCUGGUCUGCAACUGACGCUGAGGCUCGAAAGCAUGGGUAGCGAACAGGAUUAGAUACCCUAGUAGUC